rnacentral:RNase_P_RNA from 1 species
AGCGGGCUGAACAGCUGCGGAUGAAAGCCGAAAGGCUUCACCCGAGGAAAGUCCGGGCUCCAUAGGGCAAGAAUAACGGCUAACGGCCGCCGGGGGCGACCCCAGGGAUAGUGCAACAGAGAUAUACCGCCUGAUUCGUCAGGCAAGGGUGGAAAGGCGAGGUAAGAGCUCACCGGCACGCAGGAGACUGUGUGGCCCUGUAAACCCUAUUCGGAGCAACACCGCAUAGAAGCAUUCAACAUCGGCCCGAUGGCUUCGCUUAGGUGGCAUCGAGCAGCGGCGGUAACGCCCUGCCAAGAUAGAUGGCUGUUCACGACAGAACCCGGCUUAUAGGCUCGGUC